rnacentral:rRNA from 1 species
UUAAACAUGUCAAGUCGAACGGUGCUUUCGGGCACAGUGGCGGACGGGUGAGUAACGCGUGAGAAUCUGGCUCUAGGUCUGGGACAACCACUGGAAACGGUGGCUAAUACCGGAUGUGCCUUAAUUGGUGAAAGGUUAACUGCCUAGAGAUGAGCUCGCGUCUGAUUAGCUAGUUGGAAGUGUAAUGGACUCCCAAGGCGACAAUCAGUAGCUGGUCUGAGAGGAUGAUCAGCCACAUUGGGACUGAGACACGGCCCAAACUCCUACGGGAGGCAGCAGUGGGGAAUAUUGGACAAUGGGCGCAAGCCUGAUCCAGCCAUGCCGCGUGAGUGAUGAAGGCCUUAGGGUUGUAAAGCUCUUUUGUCCGGGAAGAUAAUGACUGUACCGGAAGAAUAAGCCCCGGCUAACUUCGUGCCAGCAGCCGCGGUAAUA